UUGUAACACCGAUUCCCGUACAAACACUGAAAUUAAGCAAUGUCGAGCCUGGUCACUACCCAGAUUGGUGACCGCUUGGGAAUAUCAGGUGCUGUCAG